AAAAGUUCUCGAUCGACCUCUUAUCAUAUUAUGUUCUCCUAAUACAAAAUCAAAAAUUGAGCGAAAAGAGAAUUUUAGAGUUUUGGAUUAGAAAAAUAUAAUUUUAGAAGAAGUGACACGUUAAAAUAUAAAACGUUACAUACUUACCUUUUAUACUUACCUAUUUAAUAUGUUCAAGUUUUUUAGGAACAAAUCAUUUUUUCACCAUUUUACUUAAUACUAAUUAGAAUAUACUUACCUGUUUUAUACUUACCUUCUUUAUAUAUAUCUUUUUAAAUACCCAUAUAAACAGAAAUUAUACGUGAAAAUAAAUGAACCUCUAAAUAAAGAAUAAAUAAUAGGAUAUAGAAGCUGCAUAUGAAAACACCAAAGCAAUAUUAGAUAUGCAUAUAUGAAAACUAAUUUAUAUCAAAUAUAUAAAAUGAAUUUACGAAUUAAUUUGCAUCUGAAAUAUACUUUAUCUUAAAUUAAAUCAGAAAAAGAAAUAUAUAUUCCCAACUUAUUUAAACAAAUAUAUUAUUCCGACGAAUAAAUGAACAGACUCAUUUCUACAAAAUAUCACUUCUAUCCCGUACCUGUAUAUAUUUCUAUGUACUCUAACAUCAAAUUAAAAAAAAAUAAUCCUAAUUCCCUCCAUCGUAACCAGACAACAAUUGAUUCUCCUGUCUCAGAAGAACCCCUGUAAUUCUAUUCUCUUCCACAAUUAACCUCAAUACCUGUCCCCGUUAAAACCACAACUCCAAACCAUCCAAAAAACGUGCACACUAGCCCACCACUAUGUUGGGAAAACAGCAGGGAUACUUGCGUGGAAUCUCGGGGCAAAAAAAGGAGGACGGUGAAAUUCCACGGCGGCGGUGGAAACACGGUGGGCUUGAGCCUGAUGUUUGAAAAUUUAUCGUUCAACAUUGUGCGGGCGGGCGAAAACACAGGCGGGAAGACGACAUUGGAAGCUGCGUGCACGAGAGAGGUGAAAUUAAACGGACGUCGUCGGGAAUUGCCGGGUAAUUGAAAGCUCGGCUGCGAGAGAAGAACGGGGCGCCACGAGCCUUUGUCACCCAGACACGCGAGAGGCCGCCAACUAUGAAACCGAAGGACCAAGGAAGGUGGAGAUUAUUCCCAGUCUCAAGACUUCCCUGGUCUCCGUCUUUGUCUCCAAACUCGUUCCAAUCGAUCGUAAAAUACUGUGGGAGAUCAACUCGACGUGUAAGUUGGAGAUGGAAAUAAGACGAACUCUCGAAGAACAAUGUCCCCUCGGUGCCAUCUUGAGAGUGCCAACUUCCACGAAUUUCGCAAAUACUCAGGUGUAUCAAAACGCUGGGAAUCUGUUUCGAGAUGUCGAUUCGAAGAUACGAUAUCGAAACUGAAAAAAAUAAAAUCCUCUUCCGUUCUUUUCUUCUUUGAUUUAUACGAGGGGAAAGAAGAAAAUAUGGCGACAGUCAGCGUGAAUAUAUUGCAAGUCUUUUAACGAAAUGAUUGGAGAUAAGGCUUGGAGAUCGCCAAUCUAACGCUUUCUUUCUUUUCUUUUCUUUUUAUAAAAUUGAAAUUAUCCAAAAAUCGAUUAUUUGACGUUUACUUAAGCGAUCGAUUAAUCACAUAAUGUGAUUUGAAUCAAUCUGACGAUGUUUAUAUAUUUUAUAUUGUUAAAAAUUGUAUUGUCCUGGAAUAUUUAAACACUGCAAUUAAUUUAUUUCCUAAU